GACAAAAAAAUUUAGUGUCUAGUGAAAGUAAAAAGAAGAAAAACAGAGCUAAGCCAAGGAAAUGAUUUCUUUCCCACCUACAAUGCAUGAAAAGAAAUUAACAUGAAAAGGGUCUGAGGAAGACAUUAAUAUUUUGAUAGUGGCAGAAGAAUGUUAUUUACAAAAAUAAUGACAAAUGUUGAAGAGAAAAUACAGGCUUCCUAGCAACUAGACCAAAGAUAAGUAGCUGUCAUUUGAACACAGGCCCAUGGCACAAGUUCAGAAACGUAAAGUUACAGAGAAAAUAAAGACCCCCAGAGCAAAAUCACCACAGUCUCCAUGGAAAUCAAUUGGUUCAUUCUUCGUCUUAAGAGUCCAGCAUUCACUCAACAAACAUCUUAUGCUGCCAGGUUUCUCUAAUGCAGCAGUAGAACUUGAUCAUAAGAACCCAUCACUGAGAACAUCAUCUAUUUUGCCCAUAAGACUUGGAGAACUGAAGCAGGAACUAAGAUGGAGAUGUCCUCACCACUAACUAGCCCCUGCAGUGUUUGGAAGAUGCUAUUCACGCUGCUAGAUGAGAGAGAACAUGAACAGCCUUAUCCGGCUAUGAACUGUAAUAAGAAACCAAGGACAAAGGGAGAGAAUUAAUACAAAUGUCUUCUCUUUAACUAACAGGAGUUUUGUAAAUAAAUAAACAAAUAAAAACAAAAACACAAACAAAAAACUGUGAACGCUACAGGAAAUAAAAUCAAAGCCUGAGGCCCAGCACAGGGCAUUUCAGAUACUUCAUGAAAUGCCAUCCUUCCAAGAUAUCCUUACAAGUAGUCAGUGUCCAGCCACAGUAUCACUAUGUCACAUUGAUAUCAGGGCAUUUGAGGAAAAAUGGGUCCUUAGAAAGCUUUUUGCCCCCCUCCAUCUAGAGACUAAUGGUAUGCUCUACCCUGCAGAGACUAGGCCCAGACAGAAGGAUAUGCCACAGCAGGAGACAGGAUCCAGAAUGAGAAUAGACAAAAGACAUUUUCAAAAGUCCAGGUUCACAGCUUGACAGAAGCCUUCACACAGAAAGAGCCAUUGCACAUUGGACAGAUGAUCCCAGAAUGGAAGUUUCCAGAGGAAAUAACAGUCAAUAAACAGAAAA
rnacentral:lncRNA from 1 species